UGAGCUGUAUGUAUGUUUUACCACAAUAAAACCCUUUCAUAGAUAGAGGCACCUGCCCUCACAAAAUGCUGUAUCCAUUGACUGAUGCUUUUUUUUUUUUUUGAGCUGGAGUCUCGCUCUGUUGCCCAGGCUGCAGUGCAGUGGUGCCAUCUCGGCUCACUGCAAGCUCCGCCUCCCGGGUUCAUGCCAUUCUCCUGCCUCAGCCUCCAGAGUAGCUGGGACUACAGGUGCCCGCCAUCACGCCUGGCUAAUUUUUUGUAUUUUUACUAGACACGGGGUUUCACUGUGUUAGCCAGGAUGGUCUCGAUCUCCUGACGUUGUGAUCCGCCCGCCUCGGUCUCCCAAAGUGCCAGACCUGAUAUGAUUCACCAUAAAAAUAUAUGAGCUUCAAACUAUACAGUUUAACUUAACAGAAUGUCCAUUUUCAAUUUUUACAAUAAGUAGAAAAACAGAAUCAAGUUUUAUGUAGUAAUUCAAGACAUAUAUAAUUGCAAAUAAGUGAAAAAUUUCCAUUUUACCCCAAUUUCUCAUCUGAAGCCUCAGAUGGCAUCUUGCCCACCAGGAAUAAACACGUGAAUAAAUAAUAUGGCAGAAAUGUCUUUCAAGUUCCCAGAGAACUAACUCUAAGCCCAUCUCACAUUUGUCUUUUAAGUUUUUUUGUUAAAGAGGAGCUGUUCUUAAAGAGAUAUUCCAUUUUAGUCACUGCUCUUCUCAGGAAGGAUAUGUGUGAUCCAGUAACUAAAGAAAGCUGAGAUUACUCUGGCAUGGUCUAGAAAGCAAAAAACACAAAACAAAAAAUAAAACAAAGACAAAAAGAAAAAUCAUAAGUUAUUAUUAUGUAGACACGAGCCUUUGGGCCCAAAGUGAACUCCCAAAUAAUCUAAUAAAAUGCAACUUUGGCAUAAAACUGAUGUUGAAAGUGACACAUUACACUUGUUAAUCACACAUUACAUAAUCAGUAUGGCAACACAAUGCCUCAAUUCUGAAUAUUUGUA
rnacentral:lncRNA from 1 species